GCUGCAGGGCCCGGGGCUCUGGGGAAAGCUGCCUCGGGUGAGCUCAGGGCCAAGCCAGGAGCCCCGGUGGAGGAGGGACCGGUGGGCCCAGAGGCCCAGAUUUGGAGCCUGGGCCUGGGCCAGAGGGAUGGCAGGGGAGGGGCCUCGGAGGAGACUGCCUCCCCUCGCCCAGGCAAAGGGGCAUGUUGGUGCCAGGGACCAACGCGCACGGGCCUUGACUGCAGAGCUGACCCAGAGGAACAGGGCCUGGAGAGCAAACAGCAGGCCGGGACCAGGGGCCAGGAGCAGAGCAUGGGCAGUGGGUGGCAGUGGGUGGCAGUGUCCCUGCCAGGCUGGGGAAGCAGGACGGUGGCCUCAGGGGACCAGCAGAAGCUGGCCAGGAACACAGGCCACCCGCUGGUCGGGACAGGCACCCACAGGGGCUCUGGGCCCUGGCGGGGUCUCAUCCAGGCACUCACCCAGCUCUGACCAGGCAGCUGCGUCCAGAACCUGCAGCUGCAAUGGCAGCGAGCUGGGCGGCUGGUCUGCGGACUUUCUGGAAGCAAGUGGGUGCUGGGCGCAGCAGCCCCGCUGUUCUGGGGGCCCGAUUCGCUGCCCGCCCCACAAGGAACAAGGCCCUGGCGGUCACGCAGCCUCCUCUCUUCCAGCCCCCAAGACGGCCCCAUCGGUCUACCCUCUGGCCCCCUGCGGCAGGGACACGUCUGGCCCUAACGUGGCCUUGGGCUGCCUGGCCUCAAGCUACUUCCCCGAGCCAGUGACCGUGACCUGGAACUCGGGCGCCCUGACCAGUGGCGUGCACACCUUCCCAUCCGUCCUGCAGCCGUCAGGGCUCUACUCCCUCAGCAGCAUGGUGACCGUGCCGGCCAGCAGCCUGUCCAGCAAGAGCUACACGUGCAAUGUCAACCACCCGGCCACCAGCACCAAGGUGGACAAGCGUGUUGGAAGACCAUGUCCCAUAUGCCCAGCCUGUGAAUCACCAGGGCCCUCGGUCUUCAUCUUCCCUCCAAAACCCAAGGACACCCUCAUGAUCUCCCGGACACCCCAGGUCACGUGCGUGGUGGUAGAUGUCAGCCAGGAGAACCCGGAGGUCCAGUUCUCCUGGUACGUGGACGGCGUAGAGGUGCACACGGCCCAGACGAGGCCAAAGGAGGAGCAGUUCAACAGCACCUACCGCGUGGUCAGCGUCCUGCCCAUCCAGCACCAGGACUGGCUGAACGGGAAGGAGUUCGAGUGCAAGGUCAACAACAAAGACCUCCCAGCCCCCAUCACGAAGACCAUCUCCAAGGCCAAAGGGCAGAUACAGGAGCCACAGGUGUACACCCUGCCCCCACCCACCGAGGAGCUGUCCAGGAGCAAAGUCAGCGUAACCUGCCUGGUCAUUGGCUUCUACCCACCUGACAUCGAUGUGGAGUGGCAAAGAAACGGACAUCCGGAGCCAGAGGGCAAUUACCGCACCACCCCGCCCCAGCAGGACGUCGACGGGACCUACUUCCUGUACAGCAAGCUCACGGUGGACAAGCCCAGGUGGCAGCAUGGAGACACAUUCCAGUGUGCAGUGAUGCACGAGGCUCUGCACAACCACUACACCCAGAAGUCCAUCUCCAAGACUCCGGAACUGCUCCUGGAGGAGAGCUGUGCCGACGCCCAGGACGGGGAGCUGGACGGGCUCUGGACCACCAUCUCCAUCUUCAUCACGCUCUUCCUGCUCAGCGUGUGCUACAGCGCCACCGUGACGCUCUUCAAGGUGAAGUGGAUCUUCUCGUCGGUGGUGGAGCUGAAGCGCACCAUUGUCCCCGACUACAGAAACAUGAUCGGGCAGGGGGCCUAGGGCGCCCUCCAGGGCGGCCAGGGCCGCCCCACACCCGACAGGACCGCGUCCGUCAGCUCAAGCUGCUCCGCCUGCGCCAGGCCUGCCUCCGCCCUCUGACCUCGCCCGCACCUCUGGCUCUCGGCCACCUGGCCCGCACCUCCGCCCUCGGGCCUGGCGGCCCCCUCAGAAGGCGCCCCGCACCCCCACCGCCCCUCGGAAGCCCGAGUGGGCAGCAGCUCGGGCCCCGACCUGACUUGAUGGACACCCACCACCACCAGCCCCCGCCAGAGCCACGGGACACCGCCGGGGCCACGUGUCCUCACCAGGAACGCCCGGCUCAGCCAGCGGGUCCAGCCGGCCACGAGGAGACCGGCGUCCAGCGGCUGACGGGACAGGGCCCAGGCUCCCUGUGGACCCCGUCCAGACCGGGCUCCAGAGGCAGGGCCCCCGACAGGAGGCUCCUGUGUCACAGCCUGGAGUGGGAACAGCUGCCCCCAACGCCAGCGUCUCCCAGCGGGGAAGUUCCCAGACAGGCCACCAACAGGCGCUCAGGUCAUCUCCAGCCCAGGGCACUCGAGGGAAGAGGACCUGGGCCCGAGGCCACGGCAGGAGCCCCGGUGGGGACAGAGCAGCCCUGCCCAGGGAAGCGGUGAGGUGCCGCCAGACUGGCCUCCUGGAGGGAGUCCCGCUGGCUCGGACCCCCGCGGGCAGGACAGGCCCCACUGGACACAGGUGGGGGUAGACAGGCCUACCAGUGUACAGGGGCAGCCAGACCAUCCCGAGGUCCUCGGCCUGAGUCACGUCCAUCUGUCCAUCCAUCCAUCCAGCAGGAGCUCCGUCCACCAGCCCCAGAGCUGGGUGAGAGGUGAGACCCCCAGGAGCGAGCCCCAGGCCCCGGACCCCCCAAGCCGGCCCCGCACUAACUCUCCCGCCCUGUCUCUACGGGAACCCCAAGUGGGUUCAUGGCAUCCGGGGAGCAGCCUCGGGACUGGGAGGGAAGGCUCAUCUGCCAAGCUGUGGUCGCUCUUUCUCCUUGGUGAGUGUCUGGAGCCCAGGCACUCUCCUCACUGUUGCUCUCAUUUUUCACGGCAAUAAACCACUUUUACAACCCCUCA